CUGCCCAGUGAUCAGUGACAUGAUUUAACGGCCGCGGUACCCUAACCGUGCAAAGGUAGCAUAAUCAUUUGCUCUAUAAUUGAGGGCUUGUAUGAAUGGUUUGACAAGAACAAUACUGUCUCUUAAAAAUUCACUAAAAUUUGGUUUUUAGGUGAAGAAACCUAAAUAAAAUUGAAAGACAAGAAGACCCUAUCGAGCUUAAAAAAUACGUUAACUAUAUAGAAAAAACUAAAAUUAACGAAAAAAUUUGGUUGGGGCGACUAAGGAACAAAUAAAGCUUCCUUUAAUACAAAAAACUUAUAUGUGUUGAUCCAAAGUAUUUGAUUAAAAAAAUUAGUUACCUUAGGGAUAACAGCAUAAUCUUUUUAGAGAGAACAUAUCCAAAAAAAGGUUUGUGACCUCGAUGUUGGACUAGGAUAUCCUAAUAGAUUGCAGAAGUCUUUAAAGG
rnacentral:rRNA from 1 species